UACGUAGGUGACAAGCGUUGUCCGGAUUUAUUGGGCGUAAAGCGCUCGCAGGUGGUCCGAUACGUCGUGCGUGAAAGCCCCCGGCUCAACUGGGGAGUGUCGUGCGAUACGGUCGGACUGGAGGCCAGUAGGGGGAUGCGGAAUUCCGGGUGUAGUGGUGGAAUGCGUAGAGAUCCGGAGGAACACCAGCGGCGAAGGCGGCAUCCUGGACUGGUCCUGACACUCAUGAGCGAAAGCGUGGGGAGCGAUCCGG
rnacentral:rRNA from 1 species